rnacentral:misc_RNA from 1 species
UCCGGUUUGUCACCGGCAGUCUCCCUAGAGUGCCCUUGCGUAGCAACUAGGGACAAGGGUUGCGCUCGUUGCUGGACUUAACCAGACACCUCACGGCACGAGCUGACGACAGCCAUGCAGCACCUAUAUAACGGUCCUUGCGGAAAAUAUCGUUUCUGAUAUCGUCCAUUACAUUUCGAGCCUGGGUAAGGUUCUUCGCGUUGCAUCGAAUUAAACCACAUGCUCCACUGCUUGUGCGGGCCCCCGUCAAUUCUUUUGAGUUUCACCCUUGCGAGCGUACUCCCCAGGCGGUAUACUUAUCGCGUUAGCUUCGACACAAUCAGGGUUGAGCCCAAUUACAUCAAGUAUACAUCGUUUACGGCAAGGACUAC